rnacentral:lncRNA from 1 species
GCGCCAAACCUCCCAUAAAAUGUGAUGAGAACAGGACUGGGCCUCAGAAUCUUCAUUCCAUUCUCCAUGAUGGCAAUUAAAAUAACAUUAAAAUUAGAAACAGAAUUAGCAGGUGCCAGACUCUUCUUGUUAUCUUCCAUCUUCUGUGUUUGGUAAGAUGUUUUUCUGAUAGUGGUUGCAUUCACUGAGUUCAUAUAUACAAAAUAUGAAUGCUUCAGGCUUUCCAUAGUGUGGAGCACAUGUUAAGAAAAAUUGAGGACUCUCUCAUGUACAGUCUGCCUUUCCAUUUGUAAUUGCAAAGCACUCCCAUGGCAAAACCAGUGCUGCAUAGAUGGCUAAACACUAUUUGUGUCCUUUUUACCUUUAUUUGGUGUGAAGCAUAUAAUCUUUUUCUGAAAUGUUAAUGACUGACAAGUUAUUCCCUUUUUCAGCCCCACCCUGCACUUCAGAUAAUUCUGCCCUUUGGGAAAACACUGAUAUCAAGCACACUUCCUUCAGAAAUGAAGUUGGAUCUGUACAAGUCAUAAAAUCAGGCACGUACUUAUGCAGCAGCGCCAACAGCCAGCAUCAAACAUCAGUGAGCAAAGCCAUGGGCUCUCAAGUGCGUGGUCUUGAAGACCAAGUAGGUCUCUGGGACAGAAGUGCCAAGGGGAGGGACAGGAGGAGCAGUUCUUUCCCCUACAUUCUGUGAAACAGAACA